rnacentral:rRNA from 1 species
UACAGAGGUCCCGAGCGUUGUUCGGAUUCACUGGGCGUAAAGGGUGCGUAGGCGGGUCUUUAAGUCAGGGGUGAAAUCCUGGAGCUCAACUCCAGAACUGCCUUUGAUACUGAAGAUCUUGAGUUCGGGAGAGGUGAGUGGAACUGCGAGUGUAGAGGUGAAAUUCGUAGAUAUUCGCAAGAACACCAGUGGCGAAGGCGGCUCACUGGCCCGGUACUGACGCUGAGGAGCGAAAGCGUGGGGAGCGAACAGG